ensembl:lncRNA
AGGUUAGCUUGGCAACAUGCUAAAAUGUCCAUCAGAGCCGACUCUCUUCAGUAGUCCGUAGGAUUCAUCCUCUGGGGACCGUGGAUGUCAAUCCAUUGCACUGUUGUGGUGGAACGAGAGCCGUACCAUGUUAGCAUUGCUAACACUCUGAUUGGAGUUGGUCGAGUCUAAUUCCCCCGAUCGGUGCAGUGAAAAUCUGCAUACAUUCAAAAGUGUGUGAAACCUGGUAGUCCUCUUAUUCUUAUUCUUAUUCGCUCACGUGAGGAGCCGAGAGCUGAUGAAGUGCAGUAAAACAUUCAUCCCCAAGAUGUCGUAUACAGUGUACUCACUGAUUCAUAAACCGUGUAACAGCAGCAGAAUCGUGGUAUUAGUGUGAGCAUCCGACAUCCCGCCCAGAUCCCAUCUGAUGGGAUGAUCCUCUCUGACGAGCCCCUGAACACAACAUCACACAAGCUGAGUGAUGUCCUUUUAAGGGCUGACAUAGAAACAACAAUUACAUUUCUAUUUUGGUAUUACCUCUUUUGUUGAAAAUAGAAACAUUGAGGACGUUGUUGAGCCGUGGGCCCUCUGGGGAAAUCUGGAGAUAAUUAGUGAAUUCCAGCCCUGCUUGGCUCUGCCUCUCUUCAUACUUCCCCAGAGACCAGGACCUGUCAGUGUGUGAGGAGGUGUGCGAGUGUGUGUGUGUGUGUGUGUGUGUGUGUGUGUGUGUGUGUGUGUGUGUGUGUGUGUGUGUGUGUGUGUGUGUGCCACGCCCUUGGCCAUUGGGAAGGGUUCAGUCCACAAUUAAAUCCUUAUUAUCUCCUUUAGUACCAAAUUACAAAAAUUACUUCAGUGCCCUAUGAGGCGAGAUUGGCGUGACCACAGGAAGCAAGACAAGAGGUUAGGGUUCAAGGGUCAAACCGGUGACCUGCAGGGCUGCUGUUUCCAGGAUGCUUCCCCCUCUCUCUUUUAGCCCUGCAUACUGCAGGUCAAUUUAUUUUUUGUUAUUUUGAUGCUUUAGAUUUGAUGCUUUAUUGAUUUGUUAUUUAGCUUCACUCCUUUCUUCAAAGAGCGCACCGAGUUGUCUUGAGCGGGCGGUUUUCCAGGGGGGCGGCAAGCCAUUGUGUGCCCUUUCUUGUGCACAAACUGUAAAGGCACAGUGCUGAUUAAAGGCUGGAAGACGCUCCUAUGCAUUCGUAAUAUGGAAAGCACAUGGCUGUUCAUUCAGAAUCAGAAAUGAGAAUGAAUAAUAUAGACUGUAAUCUUAACGAGAUCCUUUGCCAAUUUUCAACCAGCUUUGAUUUGUUCUGAUGUGGGCGGUGUGGGCCAAUGAACUCCUUUGCUUCAUCAUAAAAAGAAGUAUAUGCAGGAAAGAGAUAAAAACGAGUCAUCUCCAUGGACAGAGCAAAGGCUCUUCGACCCACCACCCAACAGCAGGAAGUGGAAUAUGCAGAUAAUGAGACACUUCACAUCAAUCAAGCUUGGGCUGGUGGUUGGUUGUUGUUACGCCAAUGUGACGUUGGAGUGCAACAAACGCGAUAACAUAUUGUGUCUUCAGCGAUGCAGCUCAGAGGUGCUAAAUGCCAGAAAAAGGUUGCUGAUCCUCAUUGUGAGAUAUCAAAACGACAAAAUAUGCAACUAUAUUUGGGCCGUGUGCUUGGAGCAAUUCUUGGACCCCUUCUGAGACAUGUAGAGUUGGAUCCAUAAUAUAAUAUCAGGCAUUAUGCUAUAACACCAACAACAAAAUGUAACAAAAUGAACUAAUAGAUAUCGCCUUACACUACAUUUUUCGCUUUCUGAAAUGUUAUAUUUUAAUAUGUAAAUGAAGUCUAAAUAUUGGAUGAGUCCAAAACUCAUUUUGAGUCAGAUGUUUUGUUAUUUACUUAUUUAUUUAAAAAAAACAAAUAAGUAAAUAAAUAAGAAAAUAAUGUCAGCCACCCAAAAAAUACAUAUAUUUUGCCCAUGCAAUAUAUAUAAAGAUGUAUCUAUAUAUACAGCAUAUGUCAUAUAUUACCUUCACUGGUAGACAUUGGACUCCUUUCUUUUUUUUUACUCUUGUAAUUCUUCUCCUUGCUUUUCCCAGCAUCAGUUACAUAACUGUAACUGGCAGGCCGAUGCCGAUCAGUCUCGGGGGGGUUGUAAGUGGGUCACGAGGCCCUGCGGCCCCGAGGCCCAUCUCCUUGCCUCGCCGUGCCCGCUGUGAAUGCCUGAGAAAUGGGUGGAGGAUAUACUGUAGCGGACAGCUUGCCAGGGCGGGUGGGGGGGUUGUUGCUGGAGAGGAGCCACAUCCAUUGGGGACAUCAGUGACCCUGUAGCUGCCACACAUUGGUGUCCGCUCGUAAUGAUUCAUUAAUGGGCCCAUUAGAAUCUGUCAUGAUUCCAAUGUAUCGGGGUUUGGCCGAUCAACCUCAUGGCGACGCCCGAAACAGCGGUGUACAUCCUUUGGCUGUUGCCAUGAGGUUGGCCGACAUAAAACCAAAUGAUUAGCUCUGCACUUACACAAGGCCGACCUUUUAAUUCCGGCCUUUUACUGGAUUUCUAUCCACUUUCCCUUUAAUUCUCUCUGACUCUCCUACUGCGGAGGACUCUCUGACACAGGCAAAGCGUCGGAUCUUCAUGACAAGCACGUUCCGGGUGAACAAGGGAGGCGGUGUGUCUGCGUCAUCGCUGCCUCCCAAAGCCAGCAGCAGCUCUACUCCUGCAUCCGAGUGUCCCGUCUCUCUCCCGCUCCCUCCCCUUCUACGUCAGACUUCCUACGUAGCUCUUACUGGAGAUGCGUACUCUCCUCUCGGGUUGGACCGCAGCAUCCGGUGUCACGGGACUGAGAAUAAUGGGAUGAGCGGAGGGAGGAUGCUCUGGGGAGAAGCAGCCAGUUCUCACCCACCGCCCGUGGUUCCGCGUUGCGCUCUCUGAUGUCAAGCGCGGGUCUCUCUCUCUCUCGCGCGCGUCAUGAGACAAAACUUACACGCAUUCCUGCUGACUUGCUGCAUUGGGCUCAGGGCGCCUCAAUGUGCUCCCAAUAGCUUGCUGUUGACACUUUGGAAUGUGGAAUGUUUUACACAAAGCUGUGUUGCACGUCUCCUUUAGCUAAUUUCUCUUUGUCAGCUAUAUAUAUAUUACUUAAUUAUCCAGUUUCUAUGUUUUGUGUUGUAAAUGUUUUGCUUUGUUUAUUAUUAUUAUAUUAUUAUUAUUAGCCUUAUGUUGAAGAAAAGUCUUGGGUUUGUUGAAUCCAUCCACCUUCCCCACCUUCUUUUAAAUGAAGUUCUGCGUUGCCAGCUGACUGUCACAUUUUAUUUGUGUCCACCACAAAAAAAAAGGAUCCUAAUUGACUUUCCAUGUUUUUUUGGGCCAUCUGGUUGAAUAAACAUACAGACCCUGAAUCAACCUGUAGGCCGACAUGCUCACUGGUCAAAACUGUCCUUUCUGGUUAACUGAUUCAAACAGUUCAAAUCUCUAGUCUCGACCAAAUGGACUUACCAACCAAUAAACCACAUUCUUCUUAUCAUUUCACAAACAUUCUUAUUCAGCCUCAAGUCAAACUUAACUGGAUUUCCAUGUUCACUUAAGAUCAAUGGUUAAUUCCGUGGGAUGAAUCUGGAUGAGACAUACAAACAUUUGUGGACAGAGGUCUCAUCUUCUACUCAUGAACUGAACGCAUGAUGCCUCUCCUGUAACCUUGACGCUGUCAAUUGCAUCACAUUAAGCAGCUUUUCUCCUUUGAAGCUCCCAAUGCGCUGUACCAGGUGAGUCACAUUGAACACAUCGUGUGUGUGUGUGUGUGUGUCUUGGACACCAAGGACAACAAGCUUCUAUCUCCGGCCAUAAACAGAGGAUGUUCCCAGCAUGCCGUUGUCUCCCUGGAGGCUACAUAGGUCACACAAGACUGUCCUCAGUAAACAAUGAAUGAUGAAACAGGCCGGAAGUGAUGACUUCCCAAUCCGCAUGACUUGCAUACUACUUGUAGAGUUAUUUAUAAUUUGUUUUGUGGUUUAAAACACAGUUCUUGCUUUGUCAGAAGCAACCUUUUCUGAGAGGUUCUCGUUCCAAAGCAAGACAAGCUAAUUUUAGCUGUUUGUUGCCCCUCCAACCCCCUCCGGGUUUUUUAAAUGACGUUUUCAACCAAGGCUCCCUCACUGUCUCUCUAUGUGACCAGUGGAAUGGAUUAGAAUGAACUCGGCUCCCCUGUUGUUUGCCGUCCCUCAAUCUUGCUCUUUACUGGUUCAGGACCAGAUGUGACGAGCAGAUUUCAAUUUCCUUCUUUCCCAUACGUUCAAUCAUCCAAAAAAGUCAUUCCAGGAACUUUGAAGCGGUUCACUCUUCAAGUAAGAGAGAGACUUGUGAGGCGCGUGUGAGCAUCGCUGUAGCUCUCUCUCCUCGCGGCCACAGAGUGCCAGGUGGGACAGGCCCUGCAGGUGGGACAGACCCUGCAGGUGGGACGGAUCCUGCAGGUGUGACGGACCCUACAGGUGUGACGGACCCUGUAGGUGUGACGGACCCUGCGUUAGCCAUCGCUCUUGCCCCCACCCCAACCAGUUCACAAAGACAAACGCAAAUGAGCUGAGACCUAUUCAAAUCUGUUUAUAGCCGCUCUCUUUAUGGUUCACUCUAAAAGCAAAGCCACUGACAAAAUUGGCCCAAAACAUGAGAAGGGGCGGGGCAACGCCUUUGACGGACAGGCUUGACUGGCUUGACAUUUAAAGGUGUGGAGUAGAAGCCACCUGUGUUUGAGUUCAGAUUGACUCAUGCAACUCCAAGGAAAUGUCGCAGGCCGGUCUAAUGACUCUUUUUGUUGCAAGGAAAUACUUCCCAGAGAGGGAACUCUAUCAUGUCUUUAUUUACCAGAUUUACCACGUGAAUCAUUUGAUUAGAAGUUAUUCCAGAGUAUCCCAUGCAGCCAACUGGUGAUUAAACCACAUUAACCUCCCCAUUCAUUCCUACAAAGAUUUCCACAAAACAUAUUUUUAUUUUUAUUGCUCCAGCAAAAGAGUUGAUUUCUAUAUCCAGUGCAUUCAUUGUAAAGUGCUCUGUUUAGCAAAGAGUCAGCAAACAAACAGUCGGUGUCUCAUCGAAAAAGCGUCCCAAGGACUGUGAAGGGCAGUGGAGUUUAUGUAGUUUGUGCAUUUGUUUUUAAGAUUGUGCUUAUUUGCAACAAUUUUUCAAAAUGUCAAAAAACAAGUGAGUGCCCUACUCCCCUAUUAUGUCCUGGUGCUGUAUUAAACAUUAUAUUGUUUGUAUUUAACAUAUGGAUAUGUAUUAAACUGGUAUUUGUUGAUACAAAUUAUCAAAAUUAUAGAAAAGAAAUUUGCAAUUGCAAAAAAAGAGAUGAAUAAAAAGGUUAAAUCUUACCCCCGUGCCCCCCCCAGACCUGAUUUCGGGAAACUACAGAUAUAUUGAACGUUUUUGCAUAUGGAUGGCACCCAGACCAAGUGACCUCGAAUGACAAUUAUUGGAAGUUACGUAUAUAUAAUUAGGGGCAAUGUGUCUUGCUUAGGGACACUUCGAAAUGGGACAUGGAGCAGCUGGGGCUCAAACAACCAACCUUGCGGUUCCCAGCGCACCCUCUCUACCCAUUUGCCACAUCCUGCCCUUCAGUGGGUUUAAGGGUCCACUCAUUUACACAAGUUCAGGCCCGCACCAACAGGCUCUCACCGGAUUCUAGUAAUAAACAUGGCAUCUCUACAUACAUGUGAGCUCUUCCCAGCCCUUAUCUGUUGAGACAAAUUUGUCUUAGCGUUGUUGGAAAAAUCAGGCUAGGCACUGUUGUAUUGAUCCAUGCGCUUCCAUUUUCUGUCUGACAAGCCAUGAUGUGAAGGAACUGCUCCUCCCUGGGGGGAGUCCUCUUGAUUUCAGCUGAGUGAGACAGGGUUGUGAACUAAAGACCCGCUGGUCUGACUGAUGGGUUUGACCGUCCAUGUGCGGUCAGCUUUCUCUGCACUCACAGGAAAUGUACUCAUCAUCAUCCCCACUCUCCCGUUCUGUGGUGAUCAGGUCAGAAUGUGCAAUCUGGAGACACCAUUUCACACUAAAUCUAAUAUACUCGAUGUGCUCAGUUUAUGGAAUAUCGCUGGUAUCCGACCAGAUUUCAUUAUAUCAUCACAGUUGAAGAAAGGUUGACAUUUUGUAUUCAAAGCCACUUCCAAAGAAGUAGAAAAAAUCGGAACAGUACUUAUGUACCCAACAAUAUUUGCACAGUGCCUUCUUAUGAAUUGGUGUUUUGUUACGGAAGAAAGCCAACAACAACAGAAUUGUUCUGAUAAUUUUCUCAAAAGAAAUCUGUAAAAAUCUUUAUUUAGAGUGCAUGUUUGAUACCUUUUUUUUGCAUUGAAUCAUACCUACAAAAAAAAAAAUCCACCAGCCGCCACUGCCAGCUACUGUAGUAAAUCAACUGACUUUGCACUCAUUGGAGCUCAUUCACCAAAUGUUCUUAAGAACAAAUUUGUGCUUAAUCUCCAGUUACACAGUUUUCACGAAGAUUUUGGCAUUCACCACCACAGGGCUCUCAGACAAAAUGUCACUCCAAGGUUUCUUGAAAAGUUAAAAAGCCCUGCCAAUGUUUUCUUAUUUGGGAUUUGUUCCUAGGUAAGAACACAAUUUACGCACACCCAAGAGCACUCUUACACAAAAUUGAGAGCUGACAUGUUGGCGCAAAAUAAUUAGUUGAACCGUUCUCCAGAUAUAGCAUUCACUGAAUGGGUAAUUGUAUUUUAUGCCUCGGUUUCAUUUACCGCUUUGUAGCCACUGCUGACGCUACUAAAUAUGAUACUUACUUCUUGUAGCUUUAUCUCCACAAAAUUUCUGGAGAUUUUUUAUCUUUUGGAGUCGAGGCCUCCAACGUCUUUCUUAUUUCUCAUUACUGCCACCUCAUACCCUUUUAUGGGAAUUAACGGGGCGUUAACCUUUGCUAAAUGGGUCACCAACAUCUUUCCAAGAGUGUUUGAGUUUCCUAAACAUUUAUUUGCCUUAAUCACAAUGAUUGUACAAGCUUGGAAACACUGUGGUAUAUUAGAAUAUUUUAGAAAUAGAUAGGUAAUUAGAGCCAAACAUUAUAGAGCACACAUAUCCAAGGCAAUAGUAUUGGAGCAAUAUGCAUUGAUAUCAUUUUGCUACUGAUUUUGGUUGGUGAAGGAGAUAAAAGUCCUGUUUCUUCUGGCCUGAUGGUAAAUCCCACAUGCAAAUUCCUCAUUUUGUCUUCAAUUAGUACUCGUCAGAUGACAAAAAUAUCUCAGUCCAGAGGCCAUCUGUAAUGCAAAAAAAUGAAAACGGAUAUGAAGUAUCAUGUGCUCAAUAAAUUAUGCAUUUGAAAAAAAAACAUUAGUGAGCCUCCACUGAUGGACGGGGGAGACUUGACCCCCUCGGCCCACUGAGUGGGGAUGGCAGCUCAAACGCCCGAGUAUGUCUCUGACCGUGCGUUCUUGUGGGUGUGUGUAUCGAUUAUAGAGGAAGCAUUAGUUUGCUGGUUAUUAAUAGCCGGAGGAGGGAAGCCUAAUCAUAGCAGGAUCAUUACUACCAUAAUAGACCUUCUUCCUGCUUGUCUGUCUGACUGAUGGAGUGCGGGUGUGUGUGUCCUGUGUCUAUGUGCCUGUCUUCUGCUCCAUUUAUCUAUCUCUUUCUUUCUAUCACAAACACGCAGACGCCCACAAAGACAUAAAUGGAUUGAUGCUGGAUUGUCUACACUAGACAAAACAUACAUUGUAUCGCCAUAAUUGUGUGUAUUUUCUCUGUCUCUACUCUGUAUGAGCUCCCUCUGCUCUUUUCCACUCACAAUGUUCUGACAGAGACUGCGCCAAUCACCUCCCUCGCACUGGUCCCUUGAGGCGACAAAUUAUUCAUAAACUACUUCCUAUCUUCACAGAUAUGCUUUCAAAAAGCUUUUCCUUGUCCACCAUUUAAGCUGCAUUAAGGGUGAGCAGCGAGUGCGCGUGCACACAUGUGUGCAUGGAGAGUAUCUUGCUGCUUAGCUGAGAGAGGUUGAUGCAGAGUCCUCCCCUCCGGCUUACAUCUCAAAGUAGCUGUGUGCAUCUCUUUUGUGCUCUCGAAGCCCACUGCGGUCCAACUCCCACUUCCCUUUACAGGAAAGGCAGAGGCAGAAAAUAAGCAAGAGGAGAAUUUUACCCUUUUUUUUAAAAUGUUCUGUUCCAUCCCCAUAAUUCUUCACUUUUGUCUAUUAAUAUCAGCCGAUUAAACUGUUUUCUCUAAUGGAGAGCCACUUCCAGCGUCCCACAUGCAGGUGGACUCUGCACACAUAUCCUGUUUUAAAGCUCAAUAUUCAGCAGCUACGCGGCCUGAGGCGCAGCUUGACCCGAGUGUCUCAGGGUAAACGGCUGUUUAACAAUACAGAGUGCCUUUGUUCAUUUAAAUGUGUAUGCAUAUCGAUAAAUAUGCUAACUAUAGGAUUGAUUGUUCUAUGAAUUAACAAUGUUAAGAAGAGUGUUGGUCUGGAAACAUUAAGCCAAUGUGGAAAAGUCACAUUUUCAGUUUUAGAAACUGGUAUUUCAAAAGAUUGGUUUAACAAAUUCAUGCGUAUUGCAGCUACAACAGUGAGAAUUAGGGCAUGUUUUGUUUCUUUAAAUGAUUUUAUGUAGAAGGGUCUGUGAUCAAUGCGUUUGUGUUUGCGUGUGGAUGGCAAAAGUGUUUUCAAAAAGACAGCCUCACAGUGAUGGAUGUAUGGACGUUAAAGUGCUCUUUCCGCCCCUAUAGAUGUAUAAAGAGAGCUGGAUACAUGUUCCUUCAUUAAAAGCGCUCGGUUGCACAUGAAGCCUAAAUGGAUGGACUGCUGAGUGAUACAAUUACUUGAGUCUUCAAGUGAUCUUCCACCUCUGUGGGUCCCAUAAAGCAAGCGCUUAGUGUUUAUUUUGACCUCGAUUUCCGGUUCAUUCACAUGAAUGAAUUUUUUACAGUUCUUACAACGUCAUUGGCGCCUUUUCAAAUGUUGGUUCAUCUGAGUUGCACUAUUUACACUAGAACAAUAAGGCAAUGUCAUAUUUGAUCUUGAUUCACAUUUUUGUAUUUUUCUCUCACGCUUUGAUAGAACCGAACAAAACUUUUCACACCCGGAAGUCGGAGACUGAAUAUUUGCUUUAAAGCCCAACAAGCCCCCUAUAGAUAUCCAUCCUUCCAGCAAGGAACAAGGAAGACGGUUCCGGUGUUGCGCUCUUUGUUCAGAGGGUUUGUCCUGAUCAACACACACACACACACACACACACACACACACACACACACACACACACACACACACACACACUAGUUGGAACAACGAGGAAACAGGAUGUAUUUUUGCUAGUUUUCAGCGAGUAGUCGUCGCCCCCACCCUCCUCCAUCCUGGAGGUUUUCCUGUUCUGGGUUGUAAGAGUAUGUAAACACACUCACUCAAACAUGCAUAAACAUGGAAACAUGGAUGCUCCCCCGUGCUCCGAUGAACAGGUGGGCACACGGCCACGCAAACACACAGAUGUUCACGCUAAGACAAAUACCGACAUGCACACCUUCCGUCCCACAAAUAGUCAACAAGUUUUGUGUUGAUGAAGAAAAAAAAGUCAAUUUCCCCUCCAGCUUCCUCUGAGGAUGUGACAGCGGAUUGGACGUUUUCCUGUGGACAUGCAAAGACAAUGUCAGCACGAGUGGCCAAUAACCUCUGAGCCACACUCACAGAAAACACAGCAGCUCCACUUCCACAGCACUUUGAUUCUAAAGGUGGUUACAGGAACUGCAAACACGAGUCGUGGCUUCAGCGCCACUUCCCCUUCUUCAGAAAACAGAUGAGGCAACCGGGUCACAGAGUUUGUGGCUCGAUGUUUACUGAAUACCUCCAUGUGUUUCAUCCUGUUGAAUUGGGAUUCCUUUAAUCAGUAUUUCUUGAUAUUUUCAUAAAAAACACAACUCAACUGAGCACUCUUUGGAAAUAUAUUCUUACAUUUUUGUGUUUUAUGAUUAUUAAUUUAAUUUUUGUAUGUUUACGAAAGUUUAAUUUAAUAAUAAGUAUUAUACUAAUAAUAGUAAUGCUUUAAUACGUUUUCUAUAGCGUUUUUCUUGGUACCCAAAGGAGCUUUACAAUGUAAGUAAGGCAAACGUACAGAUAAGAGGAAGACAGAAACACCAAAAAAAGAAAACUGGAGAAUGAGUUACAUACUCGAUUAACCUUAAGUGUCAACUUGGGUUAGGUUUUAGUAACAGAUCGUCAUUUGGGCUUUAAUAACCCCAGUGAAGUACGACAGUUACGUGACAAAAUAUCAAUAUUGACUUACUUACACCAAGGAAGCUACUUCCUGUUCUGAACAGCAAAGCCAACGAAGUAGUGCCAUAAAACUGACAUUUAGUUGGCGACUGCUUUGGUUACAAAGGAAACUUCUCACUUGAUUUAGUAUCUUAGCAAACAUUGUAAACUUGAGUUCAUGGUCUCAAUCGGUCUCGAUGUAAUUUAGAAUCUAUGCCGUCUCUAUGUCACUACUCCAUAUUCUAAAUAUGUGUCCAUUCCAAGAUGGCAACAACAAAAAUGUUGAACUCAAAGCUUGAAAACAUCAGUCCACCAGCCACUGGGUGUCGAGAUCUUUCCACUCAAUCGACACUU